rnacentral:rRNA from 1 species
GAUGAACGCUGGCGGCGUGCCCAAUACAUGCAAGUCGAGCGAACGGACGAGAAGCUUGCUUUUCUGAUGUUAGCGGCGGACGGGGGAGUAACACGUGGAUAACCUACCUAUAAGACUGGGAUAACUUCGGGAAACCGGAGCUAAUACCGGAUAAUAUUUUGAACCGCAUGGUUCAAAAGUGAAAGACGGUCUUGCUGUCACUUAUAGAUGGAUCCGCGCUGCAUUAGCUAGUUGGUAAGGUAACGGCUUACCAAGGCAACGAUGCAUAGCCGACCUGAGAGGGUGAUCGGCCACACUGGAACUGAGACACGGUCCAGACUCCUACGGGAGGCAGCAGUAGGGAAUCUUCCGCAAUGGGCGAAAGCCUGACGGAGCAACGCCGCGUGAGUGAUGAAGGUCUUCGGAUCGUAAAACUCUGUUAUUAGGGAAGAACAUAUGUGUAAGUAACUGUGCACAUCUUGACGGUACCUAAUCAGAAAGCCACGGCUAACUACGUG